GCCAGAGGGCUGGAAAGGAAGACUAAGGGAUUUCCCUCCUUUCUAGUGGAUACAUGAUGAUUUGUACUCAUGAAACCCUCCAGUGCAGUGCCGGGCCCUUACCUGGUGCUUAUUCCAGAUACAGAAUCACUUUUUCACACAACUCUUUAUUGAGGUCCUACUAAGUGCCCAAAUAUCUGUUAAGUGCUGAGAAUACAAUGCUGAAAAGUUUCAAGGAUUAUAUGCACAUUCAGAAUGGAAAAGCAUUUAGAAUGGAAGGGCAAUUGGAGCUUUAUGUAAUCAAGGAUGGAAGUUGGUGGCUUUAUCUACAUCCUGCACCAGCCCUAGGAGAAUCAAGAGACUCUCUUCCACAAUCUACAUUUGGAAGCCUUGUAAAUGCACUUUCUUUAUAUCUGACACAGAAAAUAUCCAACUAAAAAUCUUUGGUAAUUCUUCCAGCCUGGAUUGAUUACCCUGCACUUCACCUAAGCUCACACCAUGCUCUUCCCUGCACUCUGGGAAUUCUGUUGUCACAGGGAUUGGACACUUAGCAUAUAAUGGCUUGCAUCAGCUGGUGUCUUUAUUCUGUAUUCCCACCUGGAUGGCAAAAUCCAAGGGUAGAGACCAGGUCGUUAACUCCUCUACCUCACUCCCCACAACCUAAGGCAAGACUGCAGAGAAGGCUCUCAAAAUAUUUUACCCCUAUGUGACAUUCUUCCUCCCGGUUCUGAAAUAGCUCUGCUAAUAAUGCUUGUAUGACUGAAUCAUUAUUUUCUUUGCUCUGAAAAUAGAACACAAGUCAUUCCUGGGAUGUUAGCUUGGAGUCUGUAACUCUCAGUGAUUAAAGCUUGUUGUUUCUGAUGCUUCAGUAAAGGACACAGUCAGAGAGUGUCGCAAUGAGUCAGUCCUGGCUCUAGAGGUUCAGCCUGGUACACAUUCUGGACUCUGUGUUCACCUUCUAGAGAGCACAAGUCCUCAGACUGUCCUAUUUAUUAAUUGGAUUUGGCAAAGGGAGUUAAUUCCUUGUAAAAAAUACACAAACAAGCUAUUAAAAAUAACAUUCAAAGAAGAUGGCUAAAAAAUAAUGUGCAAAAGAAGAGGAAAUUGCUUAACUCAAAUGCAAGUUUAGAAAAAGAAUUCUAUUAAAAUGUCUUUAGGUAUUGACUGGAAACAUUGAAACGUUUAAAAAAAGAAGAGUCAGAUGUGGGAUGUGAGCUCAAUCUCCUCAGAGACUGAGUUUUUUUCUUUUUAAAGAAAAGAAAUAUAUAUAUUUCUUUAAAAAGAAUAUAUACAUAUAUAUGCAUAACUUUUAGUGAUGAAGACUAUAUAUGAUGGGAAGGUGAAGCAGGGUUUCUUAAUAGUGAAUCUUCUGACAUUUUAAGCAAAUUUUACAUACAUGUCCUUUUUCUGGAGAAAAUCCAAAGUUUUAUUUGGAUUCUCAAAGGAGGCUAUUAAUCAGAAGAGAUCUAAAAGCAUGGGUGUUUUUCCUCUCCAUUACUCUGAGCUUAACAGGAAUGAUGAAGACCCUUCCAAAUUACCUUUAUUCCAAGUACAUCUCAAGUCUCGAUGCAUUUCUCAUCUAUUUCCAAGUAAAUUUUAAAAACCUCUACCUUUAACAGUCUCAAAAUGAAAAAGAAAAAAAAUCCAUCGGUGGUAUUUAUUCAGAGGCUAAAACAUGUACCAAUCCCAUGGGCCUACGGAGCAUGACAAGGAUUUCUGGAGUUGCUCUUGAGAGCUUUGAACAUCUGGAGCCCUUGUAGAAGUAGGACUGCUAAGUUGUCAAAAAAGUGUUAGCUUUUUAGCUUGCCUGAUUAAAAAUGUAGUAUCAUUGCCCCUAUGUCCCACAGAAAUCACUAGAACUACUUAAUAGAUUCCCAUAUGGUGAAACCAUUCUCUGGGCAGUUAAUUAGGAACUGUGCCUUUCCUAGAUUCAAAGAAGGUUUCAAACUGCUCAGCACAAUAUGUCUA